AUUGAACGCUGGCGGCAGGCUUAACACAUGCAAGUCGAACGAGUGGCGGACGGGUGAGUCAUGCUUGGGAAUCGAGCUUUUGGGGGGGGAUAACUACGGGAAACUGUAGCUAAUACCGCGUACCAUAGGUUGAGCCUAAGUGGGAUUAGGUAGUUGGUGAGGUAAAGGCUCACCAAGCCGAAGAUCUCUAGCUGGUCUGAGAGGAUGAUAAGCCACACUGGGACUGAGACACGGCCCAGACUCCUACGGGAGGAAGCAGUGGGGAAUAUUGCAGAAUGGGGGCAACCUGACGCAGCCAUGCCGCGUGAAUGAAGAAGGCCUUCGGGUUGUAAAGUUCUUUCGGUAGGGAGGCGUUAACUACAGAAGAAGCACCGGCUAACUCCGUGCCAGCCGCCGCGGUAAUUC
rnacentral:rRNA from 1 species